UUGUCUUGUGUGUUUCUUCUCACUUUAGUAACACAAGACAGAAUUCCAAAAACAACAUGUAGCAGCAAGCAGAUCCAUAUAGAAGAUACUAUCAGAACAACCAAGAUACAACUCCAGAUGUCUAUACAUCAUUGCUGUGUGAAGACUGCUGAAGAGAAGUAACAAGUAGGGCUUUU